rnacentral:sRNA from 1 species
GCCGGGCUUUGUGGUGUAUGCCUGUAAUCCCAGUGGCUUGGGAGGCUGAGGUAGGAGAAUCAUGAGUUCAAAGCCAGCCUCAGCAACUUAGCAAGGCCCUAAGUAACUUAGUGAGACCCUGUCUCUA